UACGUAGGGUGCGAGCGUUGUCCGGAAUUAUUGGGCGUAAAGAGCUUGUAGGCGGUCUGUCGCGUCUGCUGUGAAAUCCGGGCUCAACCCGGACUUGCAGUGGGUACGGGCAGACUAGAGUGUGGUAGGGGAGACUGGAAUUCCUGGUGUAGCGGUGAAAUGCGCAGAUAUCAGGAGGAACACCGAUGGCGAAGGCAGGUCUCUGGCCACUACUGACGCUGAGAAGCGAAAGCAUGGGAGCGAACAGG
rnacentral:rRNA from 1 species